rnacentral:rRNA from 1 species
AUAAUAAUUUUAAGUYUAAUCUGCUCCAUGAAUUAAUUUUUAAAUAGCUGCAGUAUAUUAACUGUGCAAAGGUAGCAUAAUCAAUAGUUUUUUAAUUGAAAGCUGGUAUGAAAGAUUGAAUAAGGUAAAUAUUGUUUCAAAUAUAAUAAAAUUAGAAUUUUUUUUUUAGUAAAAAUACUAAAUUAUAUUUAAAAGACGAGAAGACCCUAUAGAUUUUUAUAUUUUUUUAUUUAAAAAAUUUUAAUAAAAAAAAAUAAAUUUAAAUAAAGAAUUAUUUGAUUGGGGAAAUUAUUAAAUUAAUUUAAUUUUAAUUAUUUUAAACAAAAAUUAUUGAAUAUUUGAUCUUAUUUAAAAAGAUAAUAAAUUAUUAGAUUAAAAUACCUUAGGGAUAACAGCGUAAUUUUUUUAGAGAGAUCAUAUUAAUAAAAAAGUUUGCGACCUCGAUGUUGAAUUAAGAUAAAAUUUUAAUGUAGAAGUUAAAAAUUUUUGGYCUGUUCRACCAUUAAAAUCUUACGUGAUCUGA